rnacentral:rRNA from 1 species
GACGAACGCUGGCGGCGUGCUUAACACAUGCAAGUCGAACGGAAAGGCCCUGCUUUUGUGGGGUGCUCGAGUGGCGAACGGGUGAGUAACACGUGAGUAACCUGCCCUUGACUUUGGGAUAACUUCAGGAAACUGGGGCUAAUACCGGAUAGGAGCUCCUGCUGCAUGGUGGGGGUUGGAAAGUUUCGGCGGUUGGGGAUGGACUCGCGGCUUAUCAGCUUGUUGGUGGGGUAGUGGCUUACCAAGGCUUUGACGGGUAGCCGGCCUGAGAGGGUGACCGGCCACAUGGGGGCUGGGGAGCGGCCGGGAGUCCGCGGGGGGGAAGAGGGGGGGAAUUGUGCACAGGGGGGGGAGUCUGAACGAGGCCCCGCCGGGUGGGGGAGGGCGGCCUUCGGUUUGAAACCCGCUUGCGCUGGUAAAGAAGGGGGGGGGAGGGUAGGGGAAAAAGAGGAACGGACAAACUAGGGC